rnacentral:rRNA from 1 species
GAUGCUAUUUCUAGAGAUAGAAAGUUACUUCGGUACAUCGGUGACAGGUGGUGCAUGGUUGUCGUCAGCUCGUGUCGUGAGAUGUUGGGUUAAGUCCCGCAACGAGCGCAACCCCUAUUGUUAGUUGCCAUCAUUCAGUUGGGCACUCUAGCGAGACUGCCGGUAAUAAACCGGAGGAAGGUGGGGAUGACGUCAAAUCAUCAUGCCCCUUAUGACCUGGGCUACACACGUGCUACAAUGGUUGGUACAACGAGUUGCGAGUCGGUGACGGCGAGCUAAUCUCUUAAAGCCAAUCUCAGUUCGGAUUGUAGGCUGCAACUCGCCUACAUGAAGUCGGAAUCGCUAGUAAUCGCGGAUCAGCACGCCGCGGUCGAAUACGUUCCCGGGCCUU